AGACCUCUGAUCAGAAAAGACUACCCGCUGAGUUUAAGCAUAUCACUAAGCGGAGGAGAAGAAACUAACCAGGAUUUCCCUAGUAACGGCGAGCGAACCGGAAAGAGCCCAG
rnacentral:rRNA from 1 species